rnacentral:rRNA from 1 species
ACGUGCCAGCAGCCGCGGUAAUACGUAGGUGGCAAGCGUUGUCCGGAUUUAUUGGGCGUAAAGCGAGCGCAGGCGGUUUUUUAGGUCUGAUGUGAAAGCCUUCGGCUUAACCGGAGAAGUGCAUCGGAAACCGGGAGACUUGAGUGCAGAAGAGGACAGUGGAACUCCAUGUGUAGCGGUGAAAUGCGUAGAUAUAUGGAAGAACACCAGUGGCGAAGGCGGCUGUCUGGUCUGCAACUGACGCUGAGGCUCGAAAGCAUGGGUAGCGAACAGGAUUAGAUACCCUGGUAGUCCAUGCCGUAAACGAUGAGUGCUAAGUGUUGGAGGGUUUCCGCCCUUCAGUGCUGCAGCUAACGCAUUAAGCACUCCGCCUGGGGAGUACGACCGCAAGGUUGAAACUCAAAGGAAUUGACGGGGGCCCGCACAAGCGGUGGAGCAUGUGGUUUAAUUCGAUGCUACGCGAAGAACCUUACCAGGUCUUGACAUCUUCUGCUAACCUAAGAGAUUAGGCGUUCCCUUCGGGGACGGAAUGACAGGUGGUGCAUGGUUGUCGUCAGCUCGUGUCGUGAGACGUUGGGUUAAGUCCCGCAACGAGCGCAACCCUUAUUGUCAGUUGCCAGCAUUCAGUUGGGCACUCUGACGAGACUACCGGUGACAAACCGGUGGAAGGUGGGGAUGACGUCAAAUCAUCAUGCCCCUUAUGACCUGGGCUACACACGUGCUACAAUGGACGGUACAACGAGUCGCGAAACCGCGAGGUCAAGCUAAUCACUGAAAGCCGUUCUCAGUUCGGAUUGCAGGCUGCAACUCGCCUGCAUGAAGUUGGAAUCGCUAGUAAUCGUGGAUCAGCAUGCCACGGUGAAUACGUUCCCGGGCCUUGUACACACCGCCCGUCACACCAUGAGAGUUUGUAACACCCAAAGCCGGUGAGGUAACCUUCGGGGGCCAGCCGUCUAAGGUGGGACAGAUGAUUAGGGUGAAGUCGUAACAAGGUAGCCGUAGGAGAACCUGCGGCUGGAUCACCUCCUUUCUAA